CCUACGGGCGGCAGCAGUGAGGAAUAUUGGUCAAUGGGCGUAAGCCUGAACCAGCCAAGUCGCGUGAGGGAUGAAGGUCCUAUGGAUCGUAAACCUCUUUUAUAAGGGAAUAAAGUGUGGGACGUGUCCUAUUUUGUAUGUACCUUAUGAAUAAGGAUCGGCUAACUCCGUGCCAGCAGCCGCGGUAAUACGGAGGAUCCGAGCGUUAUCCGGAUUUAUUGGGUUUAAAGGGUGCGUAGGCGGCCUGUUAAGUCAGCGGUGAAAGUCUGUGGCUCAACCCUAGAAUUGCCGUUGAAACUGGGAGUCUUGAGUAUGUUUGAGGCAGGCGGAAUGCGUGGUGUAGCGGUGAAAUGCUUAGAUAUCACGCAGAACCCCGAUUGCGAAGGCAGCCUGCCAAGCCCAGACUGACGCUGAUGCACGAAAGCGUGGGGAUCAAACAGGAUUAGAUACCCCUGUAGUC
rnacentral:rRNA from 1 species